rnacentral:tRNA from 1 species
GGAGUUGUGGCUCAGUGGUAGAGCACUCACCUAGUGUGUGUGAAGUCCUGGGUUCAAUCCUUAGCACCA